rnacentral:rRNA from 1 species
CUGGCUCAGGACGAACGCUGGCGGCGUGCCUAAUACAUGCAAGUCGAACGGUCUUUCUAUGGAAGCUUGCUUCCACUGAGAAGAUAGUGGCGAACGGGUGAGUAACACGUGGGUAACCUGCCCAUAAGAGGGGGAUAACAUCCGGAAACGGGUGCUAAUACCGCAUAGUUUUCUUGGUCGCAUGAUCGGGAAAGGAAAGACGGCCUUUGUGCUGUCGCUUAUGGAUGGACCCGCGGCGUAUUAGUUAGUUGGUGAGGUAACGGCUCACCAAGACGAUGAUACGUAGCCGACCUGAGAGGGUGAUCGGCCACAUUGGGACUGAGACACGGCCCAAACUCCUACGGGAGGCAGCAGUAGGGAAUCUUCCGCAAUGGACGAAAGUCUGACGGAGCAACGCCGCGUGAGUGAAAGAAGGUUUUCGGAUCGUAAAACUCUGUUGUCAGAGAAGAACAAGUUGGAGAGUAACUGCUCCAGCCUUGACGGUAUCUGACCAGAAAGCCACGGCUAACUACGUGCCAGCCGCCGC